rnacentral:rRNA from 1 species
AUGAAGAAUUGGAGAUCCACCAAUCAUCAAUCCUGCUGCACGCACAACGGUGGGAUUGCAUUUUCUUUGUCCUCUUGUGGGAGAAGGGAUGGAAAUGUACGUUACGCAGGGUUUGACAAACGACGUCUCCGAUGGCUCUCGCUCUGGUGCGAUGGGAUGCCCACGAAACGGGGUUCCUGGUCAAUCAUUCGUGGUGUCGGGGGCGAUGUCAUGGAGGAAGCAUCGCCUCGCAGUUCACACGAGCAUGUUUUUUUAGUUGGAAUCACGCAAGCAUGCUUGUUACUGUCGUCAGGUGAUACUCUGCUAGUAACACAGCGGAGCAGCAUCGCAUCAGAGUUCUUGCCUUGUCAAAAAAAAAAAGAAUUUCGUGCGAAAACACAACUACGGGGUUUUUCUUCACAGAAAUGCUAA